UACCAGCACCCCGAGUUGUCGGGACGAUUAUUGGGCCUAAAGCAUCCGUAGCCUGUUCUGCAAGUCCUCCGUUAAAUCUACCCGCUUAACGGAUGGGCUGCGGGGGAUACCGCAGAGCUAGGAGGCGGGAGAGGCAAACGGUACUCAGUGGGUAGGGGUAAAAUCCAUUGAUCUACUGAAGACCACCAGUGGCGAAGGCGGUUUGCCAGAACGCGCUCGACGGUGAGGGAUGAAAGCUAGGGGAGCAAAUGGG
rnacentral:rRNA from 1 species